ensembl:lncRNA
UGGACUGUCUCCAAAUUCUUCUGCUCAGUUUAGCAAGCUGGCAGAGAGUUCUCUCAGAGGACUCUGACUUGCAUACAAAUUAGCUUGUGGUUAGAGCCCUUCUGCUCAGUACUGGGACUGCCUCCUAAUGAAUUUAUUUUUCUUUAAUUUGGAGCUUGAGCACAAAGAUUCAUGUUACCUUCAAUAUUUGCCUACAUAGGAAUGCCUUCUGUCACAUGAAAAAGCCUGUGGUUAUUUUGAUGGGACAACAAUGGUAACAUGACUGAUCUCAGGUUCAGCAUAAAUAGUUCAGAGGUGACCUGGUCUGUCCGGUGAGAUGUCGCUGAAACGUGUGGCAACCUUGAGUUGCUAAAGAGUGAAAACAAGCUCAGGAGAAAGGUAGAUCCAGAGAGAACUAUUUAGUAGACACUAGGAAGAGAGAUGUGGCUGGACCUCUUGCCAAGCACACCAUGAUUACAGAUCCAACCAGUCCAUCCUAAAGGAAAUCAGUCCAGAAUAUUCAUUGGAAGGACUGAUGUUGGAGCUGAAGCUCCAAUACUUUGGCCACCUGAUGUGAAGAGCUGACUCAUUUGAAAAAACCCUGAUGCUGAUGUGAUGGCUGAAGGAUUGUUCUGGACAGUUGAAGACAAGUAUGACAAAGGAAUGGCAGAACAGAAAACUAGAAGAAGUCUGAUCUAUAAGGACUUAAUAGGGAAGAGACACCAUUCCAGCUAAGGGCCUUAGAGAGAGAUAAGAAUUUUCUUGUUGCUUAGCCAUCAUUUUUGGGGUCCCUCUUAAUAUAGCCAAACCUACUUCUGAUAUACUUUCUGUGAAGUGGUGUUAUGAAGACUGAGACAGACAGAGUUGAGCAU